GAUGAACGCUGGCGGCGUGCCUAAUACAUGCAAGUCGAGCGAACGGACGAGAAGCUUGCUUUUCUGAUGUUAGCGGCGGACGGGUGAGUAACACGUGGAUAACCUACCUAUAAGACUGGGAUAACUUCGGGAAACCGGAGCUAAUACCGGAUAAUAUUUUGAACCGCAUGGUUCAAAAGUGAAAGACGGUCUUGCUGUCACUUAUAGAUGGAUCCGCGCUGCAUUAGCUAGUUGGUAAGGUAACGGCUUACCAAGGCAACGAUGCAUAGCCGACGUGAGAGGGUGAUCGGCCACACUGGAACUGAGACACGGUCCAGACUCCUACGGGAGGCAGCAGUAGGGAAUCUUCCGCAAUGGGCGAAAGCCUGACGGAGCAACGCCGCGUGAGUGAUGAAGGUCUUCGGAUCGUAAAACUCUGUUAUUAGGGAAGAACAUAUGUGUAAGUAACUGUGCACAUCUUGACGGUACCUAAUCAGAAAGCCACGGCUAACUACGUG
rnacentral:rRNA from 1 species